UUGAAUUCGGCAAAAUGACCCCGUAACUUCGGGAGAAGGGGUGCCUGCGAGAGCAGGCCGCAGAGAAUAGGCUCAAGCAACUGUUUAGCAAAAACACAGGUCUAUGCGAAACCGAAAGGUGAAGUAUAUGGGCUGACGCCUGCCCGGUGCUGGAAGGUUAAGAGGAGAGGUUAGCGUAAGCGAAGCCUUGAAUUUAAGCCCCAGUAAACGGCGGCCGUAACAAUAACGGUCCUAAGGUAGCGAAAUUCCUUGUCGGGUAAGUUCCGACCCGCACGAAAGGCGUAAUGAUUUGAGCACUGUCUCGACAAUGCAUCCGGUGAAAUUGAAGUACCAGUGAAGAUGCUGGUUACCCGCGCCAGGACGGAAAGACCCCAUGGAGCUUUACUCCAGUUUGAUACUGGGAUUCGGUACUGCAUGUACAGGAUAGGUGGGAGACGAAGAAGGAUGGACGCCAGUCUGUCCGGAGUCGCUGUUGGGAUACCACCCCUGUAGUACUGGGUUUCUAACCAGUUGCCAUGAACUGGCAAUGGGACAAUGUCAGGCGGGGAGUUUGACUGGGGCGGUCGCCUCCGAAAGGGUAUCGGAGGCGCUCAAAGGUUCCCUCAGAAUGGUUGGAAACCAUUUGAAGAGUGCAAAGGCAGAAGGGAGCUUGACUGCGACACCGACGGGUGGAGCAGGUACGAAAGUAGGACUUAGUGAUCCGGUGGUAUAAAGUGGGAUUGCCAUCGCUCAACGGAUAAAAGCUACCCUGGGAUAACAGGCUUAUCACUCCCAAGAGUUCACAUCGACGGAGUGGUUUGGCACCUCGAUGUCGGCUCAUCGCAUCCUGGGGCUGUAGCAGGUCCCAAGGGUUGGGCUGUUCGCCCAUUAAAGCGGUACGCGAGCUGGGUUCAGAACGUCGUGAGACAGUUCGGUCCCUAUCCGGCGCGGGCGGAGGAUAUUUGAGAGGAGCUGUCCUUAGUACGAGAGGACCGGGAUGGACGGACCACUGGUGUAUCUGUUGUCGACCAACGGCAUGGCAGAGUAGCCAAGUCUGGAAGGGAUAAACGCUGAAGGCAUCUAAGCGUGAAGCCCCCCUCAAGAUGAGAUAUCCCUCCUUCGGGAGUAAGACCCCUUGAAGACUACAAGGUAGAUAGGGCAGAGGUGGAAGCAUGGCAACAUGUGGAGCUGACUGUUACUAAUAGGUCGAGGGCUUAAUAA
rnacentral:rRNA from 1 species